GGAGAUGUAGCUUAGUGGUAGGGCACUUCCCUGUCAUGCAUGAGGCCCUGAGUUCGAUUCUCAGCACUUCAA
rnacentral:tRNA from 1 species